GCCUGAUCCAGCAAUGCCGCGUGAGUGAAGAAGGCCUUCGGGUUGUAAAGCUCUUUUGUCAGGGAAGAAACGGCCUGUUCUAAUACAGUGGGCUAAUGACGGUACCUGAAGAAUAAGCACCGGCUAACUACGUGCCAGCAGCCGCGGUAAUACGUAGGGUGCAAGCGUUAAUCGGAAUUACUGGGCGUAAAGCGUGCGCAGGCGGUUUUGUAAGACUGUCGUGAAAUCCCCGGGCUCAACCUGGGAAUGGCGAUGGUGACUGCAAGGCUAGAGUUUGGCAGAGGGGGGUAGAAUUCCACGUGUAGCAGUGAAAUGCGUAGAUAUGUGGAGGAACACCGAUGGCGAAGGCAGCCCCCUGGGUCAAAACUGACGCUCAUGCACGAAAGCGUGGGGAGCAAACAGGAUUAGAUACCCUGGUAGUCCACGCCCUAAACGAUGUCUACUAGUUGUCGGGUCUUAAUUGACUUGGUAACGCAGCUAACGCGUGAAGUAGACCGCCUGGGGAGUACGGUCGCAAGAUUAAAACUCAAAGGAAUUGACGGGGACCCGCACAAGCGGUGGAUGAUGUGGAUUAAUUCGAUGCAACGCGAAAAACCUUACCUACCCUUGACAUGGAAGGAAUCCCUGAGAGAUUG
rnacentral:rRNA from 1 species